GACGAACGCUGGCGGCGUGCUUAACACAUGCAAGUCGAACGGAAAGGCCCUGCUUUUGUGGGGUGCUCGAGUGGCGAACGCGUGAGUAACACGUGUGUAACCUGCCCUUGACUUUGGGAUAACUUCAGGAAACUGGGGCUAAUAUCGGAUAGGAGCUCCUGCUGCACGGUGGGGGUUGGAAAGUUUCGGCGGUUUGGGAUGGACUCGAGGCUUAUCGGCUGGUUGGUGGGGUAGUGGUUUACCAAGCUUUCGACGGGUAGCCGGCCUGAGAGGGUUGCCGGCGACAUUGGGACUGAGAGACGGACCAGACUCCUACGUGAGGCAGCAGUGGGGAAUAUGGCACAAUGGGCGGGAGCCUGAGACAGCAACGCCGCGUGCGGGAUGACGUCCUUCGAGUGGUAAACCGCUUUCGCCUGUGACGAAGCGUGAGUGACGGUAAUGGGUAAAGAAGCACCGGCUAACUACGUG
rnacentral:rRNA from 1 species